rnacentral:rRNA from 1 species
GUAAGGAAUAUUGCGCAAUGGGCGAAAGCCUGACGCAGCGACGCCGCGUGGGGGAUGAAGGUCUUCGGAUUGUAAACCCCUUUCGGGAGGGAAGAUGGAAUGGGGUAACCCAUUCGGACGGUACCUCCAGAAGCAGCCACGGCUAACUUCGUGCCAGCAGCCGCGGUAAUACGAAGGUGGCAAGCGUUAUUCGGAUUUACUGGGCGUACAGGGAGCGUAGGCGGUUCGGUAAGCCCUCUGUGAAAUCUUCAGGCUUAACCUGGAAAAGUCGGAGGGGACUGCCGGGCUAGAGGACGGGAGAGGAGCGCGGAAUUCCCGGUGUAGCGGUGAAAUGCGUAGAGAUCGGGAGGAAGGCCGGUGGCGAAGGCGGCGCUCUGGAACGUUUCUGACGCUGAGGCUCGAAAGCGUGGGGAGCAAACAGGAUUAGAUACCCUGGUAGUCCC